UACGUAGGGUGCAAGCGUUAAUCGGAAUUACUGGGCGUAAAGCGUGCGCAGGCGGCUUUGCAAGACAGAUGUGAAAUCCCCGGGCUUAACCUGGGAACUGCAUUUGUGACUGCAUGGCUAGAGUGCGGCAGAGGGGGAUGGAAUUCCGCGUGUAGCAGUGAAAUGCGUAGAUAUCGGAAGGAACAUCAGGGGCGAAGGCGGCUUCCUGGGCCAAUACUGGCGCUGAGUGAGCGAAAGCCAGGGGAGCAAACGGG
rnacentral:rRNA from 1 species